GACUGAAGGAAGCAUGGUAAUGUGCUCAAAAAUUAAUUUGGGUCUCUAGGCUUGCCCUCUUUGAUACCUUUCGGCUUUGAUUUGGGAGCAUGGUUCCGCAACAAAACG